UACGUAGGGUGCGAGCGUUAAUCGGAAUUACUGGGCGUAAAGGGUGCGUAGGCGGUUUGAUAAGCUAUCUGUGAAAGUCCUGGGCUUAACCUAGGGAUUGCGGAUAGGACUGUUGGGCUAGAGUGUGGCAGAGGGAGGUGGAAUUCCACGUGUAGCAGUGAAAUGCGUAGAGAUGUGGAGGAACACCGAUGGCGAAGGCAGCCUCCUGGGCUAACACUGACGCUGAGGCACGAAA
rnacentral:rRNA from 1 species